CAGUCGUGCUGGGCGCAAAAUCAACCCUCUCGUCGUGAGAUCACAUGCUGUGGCGAGCCUCAAAACCGCCACAGCGUGUGACCUCCGAUGAGAGGGAGUACUUUCGUGUCCGCUGGUUAACAUCAAUUUCGAACGUCAAUAAAAAGGCUGGAGGGACGUGGCUCCUUCGGGAGUGUUAUAACCUUUAGCGGAAUGUGGUGUUCGGGAUUGAGGAUUGCAACGAAUACCGUUUAGGGCUGAUCCACCUGGCUUCUC
rnacentral:rRNA from 1 species